ACCAGCUUAAUGCUGAUAAACUCUUUCAAAAUAACUUGUAUUCUCAGGUCAUCAGUAGACAGGUACCGAGGCCAGCUUUUGAGAAGAUGGAGCGCAUCCAAGACUCAUCUUAUUAUUUUGAUUUACAUUAUUUUUUUGGUGUCUAUAACUGUACAGAACACACUUGUAUUAAAAUUAUAUAUUUAAUGCAAUGGAUGAUGUUGUUUGCUUAUUUACAUUUACUGUGUUGUGAUACUUUACAUGACGUCCUCUGCCCCAGAACGUUUCCGCCAUUCUUGGUUUUGGGGUGUGACACCUUCUAAGGGUGACAAUAGCGGGUUGAUUCUAGCCUCGAGAGUUAUAUUUAUGAAGACUAUUUACUUUGUGUAAAUAGGCAGAGGCUAGGCAAUAUUUCUACUGAGUCAGAGAUUUACGAGACGUCUGAGGUGAGUCUUCUCACUAUGCCUUACCCGAUGGGGUAACUAUGUGUGACCGAAGGGUCUUACUGAUGGGUUUUGAGCAUUGUAAAACUUCCUAAGUGUACAUGCAACCCUAAUAACCUUGAAUCUAUGUUUUCUCUAUAUACAUGCAAAUUUCUUUUUCAAGGUAAUUUCUAACUAGCAUGGCAUGGGGAUUACAUAAACAUAAAAACUAGUAGAAAUACAUACCCUGUUGUUGCUUCGAUUCCUUCAAGACUUUUGUAAGCCUAGCACCCCAAAUGUUGUGCCUCAAAUGAUUCACACAACACUACAAACUUGGAAUAACUUGAGAGAGCGUCACUUAGCCUCAAAAAUCAGUUAUGCUCUCUUAUCAAUACACUAGUUCCGAUUUUGCAUGCUAUAGGGUUUCUUUUAUAGUGUGUCAUAAUUAGGAGUUACAAAUGUAAACCCUAAUUGUCAUGACUCUUCAUUUCUCAUGACCCAUGGGUUUGUAACUCUCAUGGACUAUCCAUGGAGCACCAAAUGGUUACAUCCGUAACCCAUAAACCAUGGAUCAUUAAUCCACCAUAAAAGAAUUGAUGAUUGUCAUAAUCAACCUUAUAUAUUUAAUUAGUUUCAACUUGAUCACCAAAUUAAUACUCGAUUAAUACUUGAUCAAUAUUAAUUAAAUAAUAGUAUUAUUAAUAUAUUAGAACUUAUAAUAUAUUAAUAAUCAUAAGUGCCUUAUUCUCUCAUUUAGUCUAUCCAAGUAUUGCAAUGCCAUGCAACCCAAAUGGACCAUGCCGGGUCGGGUCAAGUACAUACCAAAUAAAGUUAUGGACUUAGACACUAUAUCCAACAGUCUCCCACUUGGAUAAGUCUAAUAACUAUAUUUGCAAAUAUGACUUCAAAAUCCGACUAGCAAUCGUAGCUCUUUCAAAGUCUCUCGGAACUGAGAUGAUGAUGAUACGCCAUUUAAGAUAAGUGAUCAUAUAAUCCUCUGUUCUCAUGAUAUCAGCCGGACAAACACAUGGAACAUGGUCUUACUUAUUGUCCAACAUUUGUUUCUCGAUCUCUGAUUUGUUUCGACAUAGAACUAAAUUGAACACAUCAAUUAGGUUCUGACCGGGCCCGGUACAUAGGUCAAAACCAAAUCAUCGAGGGGCCCAGAUAUCGCUUCUAUUUCUAGAAGGAACAGAUAAACUUCGACUGAUAUGCUUGUACUAACUACUUGUUGAAUUAUUCACAAAGGCACGUUUUAUAACAUCGAGUUACCAAUGCGUUUUCGUAUAAUCAAUGAAUAACCAACUCAUAGUCAACAACUCAUAUCUCUAGGUUUGAAGAUUUAUAUGAUAUUACCGUCUCACGAUCACUCGAGAUAAAUUCCAUGAAGUGAUGCAAGUGAGCGUGGGUUAAAUCCAAUACUCAGCCCUUAUGAGUACUCAUGAAUGUUGUAGCAACCAUUGCAUUGUCUAAAGCACUUUAGACAAAUCAUACAAGCCAAAUUCACGACAGUCUUGAUUCAUAUCUACUUCCAACAUAUGACUGACUGUGGAUGGUUUGAAUAACUUAGUCAUUCAGGAAGAAGACCUAGUUAUUCUGGAAGUCAAAACAUGCAUAGUGAAACACAAGAAUAAUACUAAUCUUAUAUGGCCCCAACACUUUGAGUGUAAAUAAAAACACCUUUUAUUUAAGCACCAUAUUGAUUACUCAUUAUUUAUGUUUCAAUUUAUCAACUUAAUACUUGAAUUAAAACAAUAGUCCUGCCAUGCUACAAGCAUGCACACUAUGUUUUUCCAAACAAAAGUUAUGUCAUUCUCCAUGUAUGCAUACUAUGUUUACAUAUGGUCCUCUCUUUGUGAAAUAGAUCAAUUGACAAUAUUCCAAUGAUUCUCAUUUCACAAUUCCAAUCCUUGUUGUAAAUACAAGAAUACCAAACUCUUGCCAUUUAUUGUAAUCUGUUAGAUUCUAAACUUAUAUGCAAUGAUCCCCUUGUAAUGACUAUGCACAGAAGUCACAAAGACUUGGCAAUAGACAUUACAAAGUAUUCCAAUGGAAAACAAUUCCUUGGAAAUGAAGUCUCAAAUUCAAAGUACAUUCCUUUGAGCAUCCUUCUUAGCAUUAAGUUCUUUAAUCUUACACAGAUUCAAAGAAUAACCUCCACCUACGGAGACAAUUCCAUAUUACCAUUUUGACCAUCACUUUUGAACAAGAUUUUCCUCUUUUCAAAAUAUGUCAAUAUGGUCCUUACUCUAUACUUCUAAUUGUCCAUGAGAAACUAAUCAUUGGUAAACCUCAGAUUGUCCUCGACAAGUUUGCUUAAUCAGUUUAGUCAUUUCUAGUUCUAAUCCCUUUUCCCUUCUUAAUGCCCUAAGCAUUAGGAAAAGUUAGAAUGGAUGAAUAUUAUAGUACAUGCAAUCGAUCCUAUAUCCGAAGCAUAUGGGACACGAUUCAUGCUAUAAAAUUUUUAUUUUCCAUGUUCUCGUAAUUCGAACUAUGAAGAGGUAUGUCGUAAUCAUAAUCAAAUUUUGAGAACGCAAUUCCAACAUAACAUUCAUAUAUAUCCUUGACUAAAGUUGAUAAAACUCAAUCUAAGCUGGUAGAAUUGGAAGGAAUUAUAAAAUCCUCUCCCUUAAUUAUAGACAACAACUUUUCGAAGCAAAUUGAAACUUUUGUUUUCUAUAAUUAACAUUGCUAACUUGCAAUACUUAACAUAAUCAUCAUUCUCCCACUAGCAUAAUGAUAACACUUUAUGCUCCCACUAGCUUUGACAUGUACUCCGAAAUCAACUAGACUUCUAGAAAUCAAUACUUUAUUGACUUUCUUACCAAAGUUCAUAUUUCUGAUACUAGAUUGCUUUGAUAAGACUUUAUCAAAAACGUACACCUUUCCUUAGAUAGCUCACAUGUCUGUCUAGACCUUUUGUAAUUCUCACUAGUUAGUGUGCCGGUUAACCACACACGCUCCACUAACUAGAUGAGAAUGCAAAUAUCACAACCGCUAUCUACUUAAAAUCUUCUUAUUGAAAGCGUUUCCUCACCAUCAUUUUCAUGAAUCGAAGAGAAACCUUAUGACACUUAGAUUUUAUGGUGUAUGUGUUCUUUUCCAUGUGAAUUUUUUCAAAACCAUAAUCACAAGACUAGGUUAGUGACACUUCCAAAUUCAUAUGGACUGAACUUGUGUAAUCUUAAUUUCUUGCCACCCGGCAGCACAAGGGCCUAACAUUGCUUCCAAGUUGUUAUGCAAACAGUCGAGAACUCUCAGGACUCCAAUGCAAAGCCAACCUUGACUGGCAUGAGCACAAAAUAUGUCAACAUGAUAGGUUACAAACCUCAAGUCGUGGGCUAGUGAUUGACAAAUCUCUUGAUUAGUUCUUGAGCCUAUCUUAAGAUCUUUUUAAGACUUUCACUGACCUCUUGACAUAUAUGAUUCUCUUUGUCAAGAGCCAUUCCUUGACAAAACAAAUAUUCAAUAGUUAGUGCGGAUUCUUAUCAAGUUAAACACUUCCCACAAUUGGACUUAGUUGGUCUUUGUUUUAUCCAAAACAUCACAACUAACCAAUCUCAAAUGUACAAGAGUAGGACACAUCUUACUCUACAUUCGAUAAGUGUUAUAAACUUUCUAAAGAUUAUGUCACUCAAUGGCUCAAUCUUGGAGUAUGACUCUAAGAUUUGAUUUUGAUGUAUGAAUUAUCUUUUGAUUUAACCAUUUCAACAACUCAUGAUUCCUCUCCUUAGCCAAACAAAUGAACUAAGGUGUCCUUAGAGGAUCAAUUGUGAUAUGGUUUCAUAAUCACUAAGAUAAUCAUAAAAGAAAAUACUCAAGUACUCUCCCAUCUCUUCAGAUUGGAGAAACUUUUAUCUUUCUUCCUUAUUUGAUUCUUCUUACUCAUUCUGUCUAUCAUUGAAACUCUUCAAUGAUCCAGAAUUAUACUUCAACUUUUAAGUAUAAGCAUAUUUACUAAAAUUUAGUAAAUCAUAAUGAAUAAUCGUAUCAACCUUUGUGGUGGACCUGAACAACACACAACCAAGUGUAACCAAUCUUUUAGUCCUUCACUCGAGUCACAUGCGAAUGUGAAUAAGGAAUUAGUCUUAAUUUACCAAAGAUGAAAAUUCUCAUUCAUCACACAAUACAACUUGCAUAAUUCCAAGUUUCUAUCCAACUGAAACUUGGGUGAUGCGAAUCUUUCCUUAUUUGGUAAAUUAUGACACUACCACUAAUGAAAGAAUCAAAUCCAUUUAUGUGACAACCCGAAAUUUCCAUUUUGUACGAACAUUAUCUAUUCAAUAGAAGCUAGUCCAGUUUCAAUGAAUUUCAGACUUUUCCGAAUAAGUUUGUGUACAUUAGGGUUUACGUUUAAGGAGAUAUCAGGAGAGUGGAUGCUCAUGGGUUUGUGAAACUUGAGCAUUUCAAAACUUCAUAAUGUUAGAGUCCAAUUCCAGAAUAAAAAUAUUUUUUGCCAAAAAUAUUUUAGGACUAUAAAUAGAUUUCUGAACUAAAUUCAUUCAUUAUUCACAUUUCCAACUAGAGAAAAGCCAUUUUCUCUCUCACGGAUCUUCGGGUUNACUACGAGAACAUAUACAACUAUACUAGGGGAGAACAUAUACAACUAUACUAGAAAGAGAACAUAUACAACUAUACUAGGAGGAGAACAUAUACAACUAUACUAGACGAGAAACAUUACACUACAUAUACAAGAAUACGUUAACAAUUGUGAUCCACUGUAUCGGAGCAUGCCUUAAAUGUCAUGGCCCGAGUUGUAGCCAGAAUUCUCUUGGAGGGAGAGCGUGAGUUUGCGUAUAGAUUUAUACUGGAUUGACUAUCCUACACCUUGCUGCUAGCUACAGCCGGACCUGCAGGUCUGCGGGUGCCAAACCUCAUUCCGUUAUUACGACCAUUCGUAUGUCGUUGUUACCAGUGGAUAGUAUGGUGCAAUUUAUCACAUUAUUGUUGGAAUAGUGUCUAAGGCUGUAACUAUAUCCGGUUGNNNNNNNNNNNNNNNNNNNNNNNNNNNNNNNNNNNNNNNNNNNNNNNNNNNNNNNNNNNNNNNNNNNNNNNNNNNNNNNNNNNNNNNNNNNNNNNNNNNNCCUAUAAUACAACACUACAGUACUACAAUGAUUUACCCAUUACAUUUAUUGAGUGAUUAUUUCACUUAAACAUUAAUGUACAAACUAUAUUUUGUUAAAUGAUAGUUACACUUGGGAAAUUUCACACUUUUACAACAAACGAGCAUACAAACCAGUUAGGCCUUGGUAGAAGGCUACUUUAAUAGAAAAUAUAGGUUUUUCUAAGAGAUUCAAACUUUUACAAACACUUACAUACAUUUUACAAACUUACACUUGAGACACGUUCAAACGUUUUGAUAACAAACAUCGACACUAAAAUACUUAUGAACUCACCAGCUUAAUGCUGAUAAACUCUUUCAAAAUAACUUGUAUUCUCAGGUCAUCAGUAGACAGGUACCGAUGCCAACUUUUGAGAAGAUGGAGCGCAUGCAAGACUCACCAUAUUAUUUUGAUUUACACUAUAUUUUUGGAGUCUAAAACUAUACAUAACACGCUUGUAUUAAAAUUAUAUUUUUAAUGCAAUGGAUGAUGUUGUUUGCUUAUUUANUUGUUGUUGAUAUUAAACAUGACGUCCUCCGCCCCAGAACGUUUCCGCCGUUCUUGGUUUUGGGGUGUGACAAUUUACGCAUAUUUCUUAUCAACGGAAACAUAUAAGCAACAAUGUUUUUCACAAAUGUCAUUGUAAGGAUACUUAAAAUAAAUAAAAUCAAAACCAUUUUCUUUUAUUUUAAAACUUUGCAGAAAACUUAUCCUUAC
rnacentral:lncRNA from 1 species